UACGUAGGGGGCAAGCGUUGUCCGGAUUUAUUGGGCGUAAAGAGCGUGUAGGCGGUCUGGUAGGUCCGUUGUGAAAACUCGAGGCUCAACCUCGAGACGCCGAUGGAAACCCUCAGACUAGAGUCCGGAAGAGGAGAGUGGAAUUCCUGGUGUAGCGGUGAAAUGCGCAGAUACCAGGAAGAACACCCGUGGCUAAGGCGGCUCUCUAGUACGUGACUGACGCUGAGACGCGAAAGCGUGGGGAGCGAACAGG
rnacentral:rRNA from 1 species